AUGAUGAUUGGCGAUGGAGGAAAGCGGCAUACUAUCUCUGAUGGCCACGUCUUGCCACGACUGGCAUCGGAGAAUUUAGUUGUUGCCUCCACUUCGCCCUCCGCUAUCAACAUCAAAGAAGAAUUUGAAGCUGAUAUCAUGCAAAACAUCAACCGGAGCUCCGUCACCCCCAUCUCCGUGCAUCGUGUCAUGUUUGGACCCGAAGGCUGGGCGGACCUACCACAUGGAUUAUUGCACUCCAUCAUUGUCAUGUUGGGUUCAACUCGUGACCUUCUUGCAUUCAUCGCCACCUGCCCUAGCUGGUAUGCCGCAUUCAUGUCAAUCAAAUCUACCUUAGGCGAGCUCUUCCCACCUGUUAUUUUCCGGAACUGUGCCGAUCAGACAAGCUCAGCUGGCUCUAACAUUGGAAACACAUGGGAGCUCAUUGAUCCUGUAUAUCCAAGUACUCCGUUGUGUCGCUUGACCCCUCCAAGUAUUUUGGACAAAAUGGCAGUCGUCAAAUGUUCUUAUGGUCAUGCUAUUUUCUGCUACGAGAGAUCCCUUGUCAUUAUGGACGUGCUCACUGGCACUACGGUUGCAGCUCCACCUUUUCCAUUGAGUCAACUAUGCUACAGAACCUUCAUAUCUCCAGAGGCGUCACCAGAUUCAUAUCUAUUUGUCAGCAGCCCGCACUGCCUGUAUGCUUGGCGAGUUGGGAGCCCCUCUUGGUUGCACUGCGAUUUUCUAAAUGCACAUUUGAUCAAGGAGAUGGUGUUCUUCAAAGGCCGGGUCAUUAUGAGGAUGCGUCAAAAACUAUACACCGUGCAUUUGACACCUCAGAUUCAUGUUGAGCUACUAAGACUUGAUUGCAGAGAUUAUAUGGACCCGUACGUGCUUUCCGGAAAUUUGGUGGCUUGUGAAGACACACUUCUCCUACUUGGUCGUAACGGGGAAGUCUUCUCCAUUGACUUCUCAACUGAACCUGCAAAGUAUGUGAUCGUGGAAGAGGGAGGCUUGAAGAAGUGGGCGUUCUUCUUGGGCGAAAAACGUACUGGACAGCCACGACUCUUAGUGAACCCAGAGAGAAUGGGUUUAAGGGGUGGCCUUGUCUAUCAGUUGGAUGAAAACGCUCGAGUAUUUUCAUACCCAGUAGACGGCAACCAACAUGAGGAGUUGGAGCCAGAACCUUGUUUUGCAACGAUCAAUGCUCAUCUUGCUCGCAAUCCUACAUCCUUUGCAGCUUGGAUAUGA
rnacentral:rRNA from 1 species